rnacentral:rRNA from 1 species
GACGAACGCUGGCGGCGUGCCUAAUACAUGCAAGUCGAACGCAGUGGGGACGGGUGAUUAACACGUGGGUAACCUCCCAUCAGAGGGGAUAACACUUGGAAACAGGUGCUAAACCGCUACUGAUGUAUGGACCCGCGGUGCAUUAGCUAGUGGGUGAGGUAAAGGCCCACCAAGGCCACGAGGCAUAGCAGGCCUGAGAGGGUGACCGGCCACACUGGGACUGAGACACGGCCCAGACGCCUACGGGAGGCAGCAGUAGGGAAGAUGCGGCAAUGGACGAAAGUCUGACCGAGCAACGCCGCGUGAGUGAAGAAGGUUUUCGGAUCGUAAAACUCUGUUGUUAGAGAAGCGGUAUCUAACCAGAAAGCAACGGCUAACUACGUGCCAGCAGCCGCGGUAAUUC